rfam:Bacillus endophyticus strain Hbe603, complete genome.
AUUGCCUUUAAGACGGUCCAGAGAGGCCGAAAAGGAUGGAUUAAUAAUUUAGUAAUGUUUGUUUAUUAACAUACCCAUGCCCUUUUGUCCUCUUUUGACAGAAGGGCAUUUAUUUUU